rnacentral:pre_miRNA from 1 species
AGAGGAAUAGCUAGGUCAAAUGGUGGUUCCAUUCCCAGAUUUCUAAGGAAUCUCCAUACUGCUUUCCAAAUUGGCUGCACCAAUUUGCAGUUCCACCAGCAGU